rnacentral:rRNA from 1 species
AACCUCUGUUCAAAGACCGCUCGAAGAUUGGCUUGGAAGCAGCCACUCUAUAAUGAAAGCGUAGCAGCUCACGAGCUUAGAAGAGAGUUUUGCCAAAUGUCCGGGAUUAUACUUUAACUAUUUAGCUUCUUCUUUAUGUUCUGUUUAAUACAGGUUAUAAUAAGAAUCUAAUCAAUGUUUAUACUGAAGCUCACUGACUG